AUCUAUUUAGUUAAGUAGUAUAAUACCGAACUUAUAGUCGUAAGUAAGGAGUCGUGGGUUCGAAUCCCGCCGUAGGUA